UACGGGAGGCAGCAGUGAGGAAUAUUGGUCAAUGGACGAGAGUCUGAACCAGCCAAAUCGCGUGAAGGAAGACUGCCCUACGGGUUGUAAACUUCUUUUGUACAGGAAUAAAAGACAUUACGUGUAAUGUAUGCAUGUACUUACG
rnacentral:rRNA from 1 species